GGGAGGAAAAUAGAACUUGAUGAGAUAACUGUAUCUACUCCCUUAUUGGAAAGUAGUUCAUCACAAGAACCGGUUCCUGUGACAACUACACCAAUUAGUGAGGAAGCUAAUGAUAUUGAUCAUGAAACUUCAGAUCAAAUUUCUACUGAACCUCGUAGGUCUAUCAGAGUAAGAUCCGCACAAGAGUGGUACGGUAAUCCUAUUCUGGAAGUCAUGUUACUUGACCAUGAUGAACCUACGAACUAUGAGGAAGCGAUGAUGAGCCCAGAUUCCGCAAAAUGGCUAGAGGCCAUGAAAUCUGAGAUGGGAUCCAUGUAUAAAAACAAAGUAUGGACUCUGGUUGACUUGCCCGAUGAUCGGCAAGCCAUUGAGAACAAAUGGAUCUUUAAGAAGAAGACUGACGCUGAUGGUAAUGUAACUGUCUAUAAAGCUCGACUUGUUGCAAAAGGUUUUCGACAAGUUCAAGGGGUUGACUACGAUGAGACUUUCUCACCCAUAGCGAUGCUUAAGUCUGUCCGAAUCAUGUUAGCUAUUGCUGCAUUUCAUGAUUAUGAAAUUUGGCAAAUGGAUGUCAAAACUGCAUUCUUGAAUGGAUUUCUGGAAGAAGAGUUGUAUAUGAUGCAGCCAAAAGGUUUUGUUGAUCCAAAAGGUGCUAACAAAGUGUGCAAGCUCCAGCGAUCCAUUUAUGGACUGGUGCAAGCAUCUCGGAGUUGGAAUAAACGUUUUGAUAGUGUGAUCAAAGCAUAUGGUUUUAUACAGACUUUUGGAGAAGCCUGUAUUUACAAGAAAGUG
rnacentral:rRNA from 1 species